rnacentral:rRNA from 1 species
UACGUAGGGGGCAAGGGUUGUCCGGAUUUAUUGGGCGUAGAGGGCGCGUAGGCGGUCAGCACAAGUCAGUUGUGAAAUCUCCGGGCUUAACUCCGAAACUGCAUUUGAUACUGGCGUGCUUGAGGACUGGAGAGGAGACUGGAAUUCAUGGUGUAGCAGUGAAAUGCGUAGAGAUCAUGAGGAAGACCAGUGGCGAAGGCGGGUCUCUGGACAGUUCCUGACACUGAGGCACGAAGGCCAGGGGAGCAAACGGG